GUGCACCAGGCGAGAAAACUUCACACUGUGCGAAAGCACGAUGAGGGAAUCCCAAGUGCUUGCACGUAAGUGUAAGCUGUUUCUCUGUUUAAAACGCAGAGAGAGUAAGGGCUGGGUAAGACGGGUGCCAGCCGCCGCGGUAAUACCUGCAGCUCAAGUGGUGACCGUUAUUAUUGGGCCUAAAACGUCCGUAGCCGGUUUAAUAAAUGCCUGGGUAAAUCGUGUAGCUUAACUAUACGAAUUCCGGGUAGACUGUUAAACUCGAGACCGGGAGAAGUUAGAGGUACUCCUGGGGUAGAGGUGAAAUUCUGUAAUCCUAGGGGGACCACCAGUGGCGAAGGCGUCUAACUAGAACGGGUCUGACGGUGAGGGACGAAGCCCUGGGGCGCAAACGGGAUUAGAUACCCGUGUAGU
rnacentral:rRNA from 1 species